UACGUAGGGUGCGAGCGUUAAUCGGAAUUACUGGGCGUAAAGCGUGCGUAGGCGGUUCGCUGUGUCCGAUGUGAAAGCCCCGGGCUUAACCUGGGAAUGGCAUUGGAAACUGGCGGGCUUGAGUGUGGCAGAGGGGGGUGGAAUUCCGCGUGUAGCAGUGAAAUGCGUAGAGAUGCGGAGGAACACCGAUGGCGAAGGCAGCCCCCUGGGUUAACACUGACGGCUCAGGCACGAAAGCGUGGGGAGCAAACAGG
rnacentral:rRNA from 1 species